rnacentral:rRNA from 1 species
GUGGGGAAUCUUGCGCAAUGGGCGAAAGCCUGACGCAGCCAUGCCGCGUGAAUGAUGAAGGUCUUAGGAUUGUAAAAUUCUUUCACCGGGGACGAUAAUGACGGUACCCGGAGAAGAAGCUCCGGCUAACUUCGUGUCAGCAGCCGCGGUAAUACGAAGGGGGCUAGCGUUGCUCGGAAUUACUGGGCGUAAAGGGCGCGUAGGCGGACAGCUUAGUCAGAGGUGAAAGCCCAGGGCUCAACAUUGGAAUUGCCUUUGAUACUGGCUGUCUUGAGUUUGGGAGAGGUGAGUGGAACUCCGAGUGUAGAGGUGAAAUUCGUAGAUAUUCGGAAGAACACCAGUGGCGAAGGCGACUCACUGGCCCAAUACUGACGCUGAGGCGCGAAAGCGUGGGGAGCAAACAGGAUUAGAAACCCGAGUAGUCC